UCCCCACCACUUUCAACUAAUUAACAAACUGACAUGCUGUUUCAACAUCUUGAUCCAACCCACCUUCUUUUCCAAACAACGAUUUUGAAAACUGUGACGCAGUUCUUCCCAAUCCCCUAAAAAAGAGUUUGCAGGCUGUUAUAACAUCUUAACUCCCUCAGACGACUGCUGUCAGAAAUUUUAAAUAAAUAAAAACAAGCUAGAGGAAAUGAAACGCUAAACAGAAAGGCAGUUAAACGAAAGAUGCUUUUCUGGGAGAUAGUUGUAGAACCUCUGAAUGCUGUUUGAACAUGACGUCAUGAAGAAUGAACUGAGCCACGACUGAUAUGAGCAAAUAAAACAAAAUUACAUGAACGUGUUUCUUUUGUGUUGUGUUAGUGAGAGAAAAAAGGGGGGGG